rnacentral:lncRNA from 1 species
UCGAUCACGUCGUCCUUCUCCGUCCCUCGAGAGCGUUCCCUAAGAAACAGUCUAUCAGCGACUACGGAUGCCUGAUUCUUUAAUUUUAUUCGUUAUACUCACUGUUCGAUGAUGCUCGACGAUCCACGUAUCCUAAAAUUAUAACCAAAAGAGGUUCGUCGCCCCAUCCUGUUUUCCUGGUACGUGGGGGUGCUACAGGUGGUUGUGCCGAUUUCACAGAGGAUGACGAUACAGGACUUUCCAAAAGAUCAUCGUUUAGUUUCGAAUCUUCUUGUACGAUGUUCUGCGUCGAUCUUCUACCAAGACGAGGCAAAAGCUGAAAAUCAAUAUUUUUUUGUUAACUUAACCGCUCUGUUGUUACCAGCAAUCGAAUACAAGAAAUGUGUACAAUGGACAAGGGUGAAUAUUUAAAAACUUACUUUUUUCGAGAGGCAGAUAAAACCCGUGUUUGCGAGCGGUAACCAUAACAACUGAACGGCCUGGUGACUCGAGCGAUGAAUCGACUUUGUUCGUUCCUGCAUUCGCCUUGCUCCCCUCUUUCGUUCGGGAAGUAGCGCGAGAAACGUGACUGGAAACGCGCCAGUGGAACGGUCAAAACCGGUUCCAAGUACCCUUUGAUUAGAGCGCGUCUUUUUAAACGACAUAUUAAAAGGAUACUGUUUAGAAAUAAGCUCAAAACGUAUCUUGUAUCAUAGAUACUGCAUCCUAAAGGACGGCAGUUUAAUAAUGCUUGGUGUCAUCGAUUUGUCGUUGAUAUUCCUCGU